AAAAGAAAAAAGAAAAAAACGCAACGCUAGGGUUUAGGGUCGCUGUCAAUCUCCCCACGAAACGAAGGUCUGCUCUGCUCAGAUUUUGAUUCUCCAUUUUCUUCCCCCAACGUCAAUGCAAUUUCCCAAUUUCGACCCGGCGAUUCUCUACAAGUUGUGUUAGAGAUGAAGAAGGGAAAUUUAUAUUAUAUAGGAAGAAAAAGCCCGAGAACAUGUGCUCUUCUUCAACAUCUUUUCACUCUCGAAAACCCCCUUCUUUUCUCACUGCACCGUGGGGUUUCAUAUCCAGUUCUUGGGUUCGGUUGCCCAUUAGAAUCAGGAAGGAACCCUAACUUCGGUAUCCGCUUCAAUUCGUGAGUUAUCUUCGAUUUCUUGGUAUAAAUUAAGUUGCCUCUGACGACUUCAAUGGUUGGGCUAUUGUGGAAGAAUAUACUCAGAAACCGAUCAAAAACGAAUGUCAUAGGUAUGUCUAGAGAUUUGGAAGGUAGAAAAUUCACUUAAGAAAAGAAAAUAUGUCAUGCUGCUCUUCAAACUUUGAGGUAUUUCUUUUUGUUUAUUUAUUUAUUCAUUAUUAUCUUGAUUCGCUUUUCUUCCCCCAUGCAGAUGCAAAACAAUGACAUGCACAAUAUAUCGAAAGAUUUGAUAUCGUUGAACACAUACAUGCACAAGCACCCAUAGCUUUUAUUUGAUUUUUUGUGGGGGUCAAAACAGAAACAUAUUUCCCACCAUUCAAGGCUUUCUUUCUACCUAUGGAAUUUAUCUUGUGUCUAAGAAGAUAUCGAGCAGACAAGAGGAUUCUUUUCACUUCUUGUCGACUAACCAAAUUAGGUAACAUGGUAUGGUAUCACAUUACAGAAUCAAGAUAUUUGUAUGCAUGCUUUCUGUUGUACUGCAGCAAGCUGGCGUACGUCCGGUCCCAUAUUCCAACAUACAUGGACUCGUCAUUGGGACUCAGGGAUACCCCGGUGAUCUCCCCAAAGAAAUCUAUCUCUUGCUUUUGCUUGUAGUUUCCUUUAACAGUGUAUAUGUGCACAAAGUCCGCAGGUUCAGCCGCCACCAGGAACUCCCCAUCUGCUGAGAAACAUAUCUUUCUGAUUGCACCUAUGUGUCCCUUCAAGAUUGUUAUUGAUGCUGACAGGUUUCUCAAGUCCCAAACUCUGCAGGUUUUGUCCUGAUUUCCGGUGGCAAACAUCAUGCCCUCUGGGUGCCACGCAGAUGUGAACGAGUAGUCGAGAUGACCGGAAACUGAAGCGAUUGUCUGAAGACACGGAUAAAUCAGAAUAGCUUAAUUCAAUGAGGUACAUGUAUGGAUGGCAUUGUAAGAAGAGACCAAAUAUGUUAUAUGGCUACUGUCUUCACACAUAUGUAUCUCAUGGAAUAAAGUUUGAGAGAUGUGUAAUUCACCUUAGAAGGAAGCGUUGCGAGAGGCAAAUCAAUAAUAUUUCAACAUGACUUCCAAAAGUAAUUCGUGCAAGCUUUACGUAACAACUGUAGCUGCUCCAACAAAGCAAGGAAGAUUUGAGCGUACCUUCCCAUUCCGAGCAUCAAUGAGCAACCCAUUAGGAUCAUCUCCCACAACAGUCAAAAGUUUGCGGUUAGGGCUCAUCAUUGCAUGCUGCAUUGAGAGUAAAACAAUAAGCAAAUAGAAAAAGUAAUCGAUUCACAAUAUAGGGAGCAUGCUAUAUGUUUAUGUUCAUUGCACACUGACUUUUAUCUGCUAAGAUGCUGUGCUAGUGAGCCGAUAGCGAAAUAUUCUGCCUGAAUUACUUACAUUUUAUUUAUUGUGUAAAAUCGUCAUGUGUUUAAUGUACUAUAUAUAUAUAUACGAGGAGUUCAAAAUAUUGUGUUUUGUUCAAAAUGUGUGAAACAUCUAUUUUAUGUAUCGCAUGAAAUCGUCGUCUAUUAGCAAAAGUAACAAUUAAGAAUCAUGAGCCUAUUGCGUGGAGUUCUUAUUACUGAAUAGAAAUAAAAUUUGUAAAAUUUCUUUAACAAUAUUCUAUCCAAUCUUGUUGAAGAAAUUAUGUGAAUUUCUAGUAUGAUUUUCUAAGGAUCGCACGCCUAUUAUUUAGACGAUUUUGUAUUGAAUAGAAGUAAUGAAAUUUUUUUCAUGUAAACAAUUUAUUAAUUAAAAAAAAAAUUAAAUAGUUGAUAUUGAUGGCUUCUUUUGCUUCUCUAAUAUUGUAUUUAAAAAUCAAUCGCAUAUAUUAAUCUUCAAAGUGCACAUAAUAGGUGUGCGAUUCUUAGUCAUAUUUUUAGACAGAAGAGUUAUUCUGUGUCGAGUUUAUGUGAACGCUACAGUUCACUCUAUUAGGACCAACCUGACUAGGCCCAGUUGUUGAAAUUUUGACAUAGUAUAGUCUUGUAUGGCUAGGUGAAGAAGAUAGAUAUAACAUAUAUAUAUAUAGACAAAAUUGCUCAUAACUCCUUUGUAGUUUCAAAAUUCAGCAUAAAUUUUCCAUUUACUUUAAAAAUUGCAUUGAGCCCCUUUAUAAUUUUAAAAACGUUGCAUAAAACCUCUCUGUGGUUUCGAAACAUCAGUGUAAAUCUCCACUUCACCUAAAAAAAAAUGCAUGAUGUCCCCUUAUACUUUAAAAAAUAUUGCACGAAAUCCCUUGCCAUGCAAAAAAUAUGGAUAGGAAAUCAUCAUCCCAUCAUACAACGGAGGUUUCAUGAAGGUGGAGUUUCAUGCAACGUUUUUUAAAGUAUAGGAGAGUGCCAUGCAAUUUUUAAAAUAAAGAUAAAUUUUAUGCAAAAUUUCGAAACCACAUAGGAAUUAUAAGCAAUUUUAUCCAUAUAUAUAUAUAUAAGUCGAGAAAGAAAGAACAAACAUUGACGGGCCAAGGGAAGUCGAAGUGGUUAAGGAGCUGAAACCUCUCCAGGUCGUACUCUCUUACACUGCAGUCGUUAUUGCAGGUCACGAAACACAGCCCGCUGCAGUCAGAUUCGUCACCGAAUAAACCAUAAGGAAUGGAACAAUGAGGCAAGGAUUCAGAUUAACCAAGUGACGUACCAACCUGGAAGAGGAGCUGUUGUCGAAUAUUUCAAUGGCAUUCGUAAUGGCAUUCUCAUCUCGCUGUGUGGCCCUCGUGCAAAAGCUUAUCCCCGCUUCGUCGAGACGCUGCAGCAAUGCAAUUCAAGAUAAGUUGUCCAUGGAAGCCUCCGGCCAGCAAGAAUCGAUCUUUUACAGCUAUUGUGCUCACUCCUGGAUGACUCUACGUUUACGACAUUAUUAUGGAUUUCACAUUAAGGCGAGCAUACGAUAGAAUGCACGGUAGGUAGAUAUAACCUACCUCCGAUGGCGCGACAUCAACAUCAACGUGCUCGGAAAAGUUAAUGACUCGGGUCAAGCUCUGGAACGACGACGACCAGUGCAUAACCGAGUUGUUUGAAAUAAGAUACACGUCGUGCUUCGAUGUAGCCCACACUAGGUUUCUUAGCUGCAUCGCCGAAACUAUGAGGGUGUGUUUGUUUGUGGGUUUUCGCUUUUGUGUUGGAUUUUUAAAUAGUAAAAGUUGAAUUUAAACAGUUGGUUGAUAUAAUAUAAAUCGGGUUAAUGUGAUA